AACUCCGAGGACAGCUGCGACCCGGAGCUCCACGGGAUGGCCUACGAGCUAGGCGGGCGGGGAGUGAUGACGUAUGAGGAUGUGGAGGUCAGCAAUUGGCUGCGCUGUGCGAAGACAGACAGACUACCCUGCCCUGCUGCGAACGUGCCACAGCUGCUUCCUCACCAUGGUCUGGAAAAGCUACCCCCUCUUCCAGGAAGAGCUCCUGUGCCGACUCAGAGAAGCCAUCGUCACUCAACCCCACUGGUGGGAUAAGAUUCCUCUCCCUUUCCACGUGGCGAUGUACUUUGCCUAGGCUGCAAAUACUGACCUUAUCUGUAUUUAUCUCACGUUUAUUCCUUAUUACCCUCUGCUCUGUUUACCUCUGUGUAUUGUUAGGUCAUGCCCUUGACCAGCCUCCCUCACGGGGUGCUGCGAGGACCCAACCCGGUGAGGCAGUUCCUCGGGGCUCUAGGACAGGACGAUCAUUAUCGCAGGGAGGAAGGGCUUGGGUCUCGCCCUCCCGUAAAGGUUCCAGGACACAGGACCAAGUGGAGAUCUGGAGUCAGAAAGCUGGGGUUUCAAUCUGGGUCCGUGUGACCCUGGGGGCAAGAGACCACCUAAGCUUAUUUUAGAUCUUUCGCAACCACCUUGAGACCUGUUGCUGGUGAUGUGCACGGUGGACCCCCGAACGGGCUCAGCAUCCUGAGCCUUCACCAAAAAAUGAGGAUGGGAGACACUGCUUGCCCGGGUCACAAUCAGAAGGAAAUACAAGUGCAGGUGCGGAGACUUGAUAUAAAUUACAAAUCAGAAUCUGGGGGCGCGUGGCUGGCUCAGUCCGUUAAGCAUCCCACUUCGGUUUCGGUCGUGAUCUCACGGUUCGCGGGUUCGAGCCCCGCGUCGGGCUCUGGGCUGACAGCUCAGAGCCUGGGGCCUGCUUCGGAUUCUGUGUCUUCCUCUCUCUCUGCCCCUCCCCUGCUCAUGCUCUGUCUCUGUCUCUGUCUCUCUCUCUC